UAAUAUUAAUUGUUAAUAUUUUCUGCGAGGAGUUGUGUGAGGUUACUUGUACUUAAUGCUUACAUGUAAAGGACUUGUGAACUUUUCUUCAACUUUCCCUCGGGCUUGCGAAUAUCUUUGUAUGAUUAUCAUGAUUUUAGUUGUUAUAUGCUGAUCUGAUAAUUAUAUGAUAUUGCGUAGGUAAUUAUUAUUUUAUCUUAGUUAAAUUGUGAUCCAAAAUGAUAUGCUUAUUUGUUUUAUGAUUGACUUUGAUAGAAUAAUAGAAGCAUGAUUUAUUCAUUUUUGAAGUAUUUAAUUGGUAUCUAUUUUUGAUGCUUUAUUGAUGUUUUAUUUGUGAAUUGAUUGUGAUGUAUUGGCACCGGUGAAAUAUUGUUGCAUAUUUCUUAAAACCACUGGUGCUAAUAUAUUUUAG
rnacentral:lncRNA from 1 species